GGGGUUGUGGCUCAGCGGUAGAGCACUCACCUAGCAUGUGUGAGCCGCUGGGUUUGAUCCUCAGCACCCCA
rnacentral:tRNA from 1 species